rnacentral:rRNA from 1 species
GACGAACGCUGGCGGCGUGCUUAACACAUGCAAGUCGAACGUGAUUUUUGUGGAAAGCCCUUCGGGGACGGAAAUGAAAUGAAAGUGGCGAACGGGUGAGUAACACGUGAGCAACCUACCUUACACAGGGGGAUAGCCGUUGGAAACGACGAUUAAUACCGCAUGAGACCACAAAGCCACAUGGCUUAGGGGUAAAAGAUUAUCGGUGUAAGAUGGGCUCGCGUCUGAUUAGCUAGUUGGAAGGGUAAAGGCCUACCAAGGCAACGAUCAGUAGCCGGUCUGAGAGGAUGAACGGCCACAUUGGAACUGAGACACGGUCCAAACUCCUACGGGAGGCAGCAGUGGGGAAUAUUGCACAAUGGGGGGAACCCUGAUGCAGCGACGCCGCGUGAGCGAAGAAGGUUUUCGAAUCGUAAAGCUCUGUCCUAUGAGAAGAUAAUGACGGUAUCAUAGGAGGAAGCCCCGGCUAAAUACGUGCCAGCAGCCGCGGUAAUACGUAUGGGGCGAGCGUUGUCCGGAAUUAUUGGGCGUAAAGGGUACGUAGGCGGCCUUUUAAGUCAGGUGUGAAAGCGUGAGGCUUAACCUCAUUAAGCACUUGAAACUGGAAGGCUUGAGUGAAGGAGAGGAAAGUGGAAUUCCUAGUGUAGCGGUGAAAUGCGUAGAUAUUAGGAGGAAUACCGGUGGCGAAGGCGACUUUCUGGACUUUUACUGACGCUCAGGUACGAAAGCGUGGGGAGCAAACAGG